rnacentral:rRNA from 1 species
CAGCCGCCGCGGGAAUACGUAGGUGGCAAGCGUUGUCCGGAGUUAUUGGGCGUAAAGGGCUCGCAGGCGGUUUCUUAAGUCUGAUGUGAAAGCCCCCGGCUCAACCGGGGAGGGUCAUUGGAAACUGGGAAACUUGAGUGCAGAAGAGGAGAGUGGAAUUCCACGUGUAGCGGCGAAAUGCGUAGAGAUGUGGAGGAACACCAGUGGCGAAGGCGACUCUCUGGUCUGUAACUGACGCUGAGGAGCGAAAGCGUGGGGAGCGAACAGGAUUAGAGACCCCCGUAGUCCCUGUCUCUUAUAC